rnacentral:lncRNA from 1 species
AUGGGAGUGAAGCCAUCUAGGCUCAGCACUCUCACCCAGGGAGCUUGUCCUGGCAGGAGGUCACCAGUGGGCUGUAGAGACCCUUUCUUUACAGCCUUUGCCUGGCAAAGUACUGCAGAUGCAAGGAACAACAACUGUUCUCCUCGUCUGCAUGGACACAAAGCAGGCAGAAAAACAAAUCAGGAUGCAGAAAGCUCGUUGCUGGGCUCCAGAGGUGGACUGAGCCAAAGGGGACCCCGCAUUUGUGACUUGCUAUCCCUCUCUGUGGGUUUUUCCUGCACAUCAGCCCUGAUGGAGGAUGGCCCCUUCCAAAGCAACGCCACCCUUCAGGGGCUGAAGCCGGUUGGAAGAACCAGCAACUCUGGUGGUUUCUGCUGAGCAGAUCCAAGGUCCGUGGACCUCACCGGCCAUCCACAACGAUUUACAAGAGCAGAUGCUGACGUGAACAAGAGGGGUUGCAAAAAUUCUUCAUGGUGAUGUGGGGACAGAACUGUGCUCAAAUCCACAGGGCCUACACUUUGUGACUCCUCGAGCGCACUCGUUCCCAAGUGCAGCCAGCCCGGAGGCAAUAGGAAGUGGCCGUUUUGUGCAAUUAUUUCUUCACAAUGUAUGUAUUGUGGGAGAGGGUAUGAAGAGGUGUGAUUCCUUGAAGAAGCUCUCAUGUGAAUAGCAAUUGGCAGUAAUUAAAUAACUCCAGACUGUUUCUUGGGGGAAAAUUCAAAUAAUAAGCUGACAGAAAUAUGAGUACAACAAUUUGCUUCCUCUCCCACAGCCACAGCUCUUCUCUAAUGUUCUGGCAAUGCUGGCUGCAGAGUGAUGUGUGAACUUCCAGUUGUUCGGUAGGUUUUGUCUGAAAACCUCACAAAAUCUGGCUGUUUUCUGAAACCAACUUGUGUCUUAAGCACCUUAAUUUACCAGCUCUGCUCAGCUCUGUGGCUUGAUUGCAUCUGUCAAGUGUAGAGCAAAAGUGUCAAAGGAAUAGUAAAAAAAAAAGCCAGAAAUAAUGCUUGACUCUAAGGGAGGGCUGUAGACGAGUAAGAGAUAGAGAUGAAUGAGACUAAACUAAAAUAAUUUCAUACUAUUUGAGAACUGCCAGCUUCCAUCUGCAAAUCUUACAGAAUUUCUUUUUUUUUUUCUUUCUGAAAGCCCCGGAAAAUACAAGACCUAAAUGUCUCAUUCUUGCAAGAAAAACAAUG